UCAAAACGCGCCCCAGAGAACGUAAUGCCUGGAAUGCCCUCUCAGGCGAGUUUGGACGGGGCUACCUUCUUCGAUAGCAACGACGGAACUUGUAAAAGGCCUGCUUCUCGCAAAUACACAACCAGUCUGCCGGUGAAAGCUUUUACAGCUCCGAUACAAUGAUAAAGAAGAAGAAGAAGACUCAAAAAUUAAGAUUUGGUGCUGCGUUAUCAAGAUCUUCGCUGAUUCUGCCUCAUCAACAGAGAUCUUCGCUCGCUGGUUCCGCCUUCUUCCUUAAUGAGAGAAUAACAAAACUUUGCUGCUGUUAGAAGGUCAAGCCUUGAGGGUCGUAUGGUGUAAGAAAUGAGCAAAGGCCUCCUGAUCAAACAGGACCUUCCAUUCUUGGGAGCAAUAGUAUUAAUACGUUGUGGGAUGGUCAUGGAGGAGGAGGAAGAAGACCGAGCGCUGCAGUAAUCGUGUCAAGGCUGCACCUGAACGAGCCAGGACGGGCAACUAUGAGUUGAUGCACCAUUUCUCCUCCUUGUUGCAGAAGCAGAGGGCGUGAUGGGCUCGUGCUGGCCUCUGCCUCCUUUCAUCUUCGUCUCCCUCACUCUCUCUCUCAAUUGCUAAGUGCUCUUAAUUGGACUUUGAUAAUGCAGAAUUGACCAAUUUUUUUUC